GGUCAGGAUGAACGCUAGCUACAGGCUUAACACAUGCAAGUCGAGGGGCAGCAUGAUCGAAGCUUGCUUGAUGAUGGCGACCGGCGCACGGGUGAGUAACGCGUAUCCAACCUUCCCUGUAGUAGAGAAUAGCCCGGCGAAAGUCGGAUUAAUGCUCUAUGUUGUAUUUCGAUGACAUCUGAAGAAUACCAAAGGUUUACCGCUAUAGGAUGGGGAUGCGUCUGAUUAGGUUGUUGGCGGGGUAACGGCCCACCAAGCCCACGAUCAGUAGGGGUUCUGAGAGGAAGGUCCCCCACAUUGGAACUGAGACACGGUCCAAACUCCUACGGGAGGCAGCAGUGAGGAAUAUUGGUCAAUGGACGGAAGUCUGAACCAGCCAAGUAGCGUGCAGGAUGACGGCCCUAUGGGUUGUAAACUGCUUUUAUAUGGGGAUAAAGUGAGGGACGUGUCCCUUUUUGUAGGUACCAUAUGAAUAAGGACCGGCUAAUUCCGUGCCAGCAGCCGC
rnacentral:rRNA from 1 species